CAACUGAUGUCCGAUCCUGGAUUGAAUUUCGGAAUUCAGCCCUCCCGGCUUGCCCGGUGGCCUGCUUGACGGCGGCUUUUGAUCUUUCAUUGGCUUUAUCCGUUUUUCCCCAUGAGCUAACUCGCUAGAAACACGGGAGUUUUUCCCCCGGCGAAGCUUUUAGCCCGCCUGAUCCAGUCAUAAACGGGGGGGUGAGCGGAAAGUUCCGACCGGGAGGAACUUUUCUCCGAUUUAUGCGUAGAUAGUCCGAAGCGGGGGAACCGGCGGUCGCUUCAGUCGCGUUGCCGGG
rnacentral:misc_RNA from 1 species